GUGGCGAGUGGCGACGGGUGAGUAAUACAUCGGAACAUGUCCUGUAGUGGGGGAUAGCCCGGCGAAAGCCGGAUUAAUACCGCAUACGAUCUACGGAUGAAAGCGGGGGACCUUCGGGCCUCGCGCUAUAGGGUUGGCCGAUGGCUGAUUAGCUAGUUGGUGGGGUAAAGGCCUACCAAGGCGACGAUCAGUAGCUGGUCUGAGAGGACGACCAGCCACACUGGGACUGAGACACGGCCCAGACUCCUACGGGAGGCAGCAGUGGGGAAUUUUGGACAAUGGGCGAAAGCCUGAUCCAGCAAUGCCGCGUGUGUGAAGAAGGCCUUCGGGUUGUAAAGCACUUUUGUCCGGAAAGAAAUCCUUGGCUCUAAUACAGUCGGGGGAUGACGGUACCGGAAGAAUAAGCACCGGCUAACUACGUGCCAGCAGCCGCGGUAAUAUGUAGGGUGCAAGCGUUAAUCGGAAUUACUGGGCGUAAAGCGUGCGCAGGCGGUUUGCUAAGACCGAUGUGAAAUCCCCGGGCUCAACCUGGGAACUGCAUUGGUGACUGGCAGGCUAGAGUAUGGCAGAGGGGGGUAGAAUUCCACGUGUAGCAGUGAAAUGCGUAGAGAUGUGGAGGAAUACCGAUGGCGAAGGCAGCCCCCUGGGCCAAUACUGACGCUCAUGCACGAAAGCGUGGGGGAGCAAACAGGAUUAGAUA
rnacentral:rRNA from 1 species